GCCUUUGUGGUUUAGUGGGCAGCACGCUGGGCGCGUAUUCCAGAGGUCUGUGGUUCGAAUCCGUCGAGGGCA
rnacentral:tRNA from 1 species